UGGCCACCACCAGCUGAACCACUCCGGUGGCUGAGCGAAGGAUGGCCACAGCUUCCUCGUGGGAGAGCCCGACUAGCGACACCCCCUUGCCCGGAUUUCCUCUGUGGCGCCUGUGGCACUACACCGUGUGUGUCUGUAACCCCGCCCCCAAGAGCUACAGGGCCUCGAGGGCAAAGUCUCACAACGCCGCCUCCUCCUCGUGUGCCUACCACCAAGCUUCAUAAGCAGGAGGGACAGAAAAAUGAACAAGGAAACUGCCUAAGUUACUGCUUGCUGUUGCAGGCUUUAACAGAAGACAGGAGGCACCAGAGACUCUGACAGCCUCUGCUUUCUGUUCUUCAAAAAUCCCUAAAGCAGAGAAAUGCUAAGAACCCCAGGAUGUUGCUCAGGAUGGAAAGAGAAGGGAAGAGGAAAACCACAGAGAACAAGCAAACUGGAACGUCAAAGAGAAACAGCCUUCCUGGCCUUCAGAGUCUCUCCCAGCUCCACGACUUCCAAGAAGCCAUCCUUGAGAAUCAGUGCUACCACGAGAUAGCAACCUUCCGUGCUUCCACUACACGAGACCCUAUGGCUAUCGGAGGACCCCGGAGAGAGCAAAGGCAGGCGUUCUCCGGUUAGCUGUUAUCCCGGCAUGCUGGGCGUCCCACACUGGCACGUGGGCCAGCCCCGCGGCUGCUUCCCUGGGCCUCUCGGUGCAGGUAACAAACGAGCGCCGACGGUGGCUUGACUUUUUUCCUUGCAAGAUAUGCCAUGGCUCCUGGGGUCUUGAAGAUGUGGGACAGUGUUCCUCCUUCUCCCAGUACAGAAAAGCUGUAGAACUCUUUCCCAAGAACAACACGGACCAUUGUGAGAGCCCAGAAAUAAGAAAACCCUUUUAGUUUUAGCCCAAAUUAGUUAAAACCUAUCCAUCCCUAUUACUAGCUACACCAUCAUUUUCUCCCGUCCGACCCUCCUUUUGCUAGACAGAACCUGUUAAGUAUGGUUCACAGAGGAUGUGACAAUACUAGAUACAGUUCUUUCUAUUUUUUUUUUUUUUUUUUUUUGCGGUACGCGGGCCUCCCUCCGCUGCGGCCUCUCCCGUUGCGGAGCACAGGCUCCGGACGCGCAGGCCCAGCGGCCACGGCUUCACGGGCCCAGCCGCUCC